rnacentral:tRNA from 1 species
GCUCCGAUGGCCUAGGGGAUAAGGCGGCAGUUUCCGGAACUGUACACGCGGGUUCGAUUCCUGCUCGGAGCACCA